rnacentral:rRNA from 1 species
UACGAAGGGGGCGAGCGUUGUUCGGAAUUACUGGGCGUAAAGCGCACGUAGGCGGAUCGAUCAGUCAGGGGUGAAAUCCCAGGGCUCAACCCUGGAACUGCCUUUGAUACUGUCGAUCUGGAGUAUGGAAGAGGUGAGUGGAAUUCCGAGUGUAGAGGUGAAAUUCGUAGAUAUUCGGAGGAACACCAGUGGCGAAGGCGGCUCACUGGUCCAUUACUGACGCUGAGGUGCGAAAGCGUGGGGAGCAAACAGG